AUACUUCCUGGAAGGGGAGAUUACCCAUGAUCAAUGAAGGUGGUUCCACCAGGCUAUUGCUUACCUUUUUGUAUUGCACUACGGUAUAUGCUGACCCCUGCGAAUUCCAAAUGGGGGAAUCUCGGACUGCAUAAUUUGUGGUAGUGGGGACUGCGUGCGCGCUCUCCCCGA